rnacentral:rRNA from 1 species
GAGUUUGAUCCUGGCUCAGAACGAACGCUGGCGGCGUGGCUAAGACAUGCAAGUCGAACGGUAUAUUGUAGCAAUAUGAUAUACAGUGGCGGACGGGUGAGUAAUAAAUAGGUAACGUAUCUCGGACACAGGGAUAGCGUCGGAGCGAAAGCUCCUUUGCGAAAGUGACGGUAAUACCUGAUGAAGUCUUUGAGGGGCAUCUCUCGAGGACCAAAGGGUGGGCCGCAAGGCCUGCUGGUCUGGGCGCGGCCUAUUUCCUAUCAGCUUGCUGGUGAGGUAACGGCUCACCAAGGCUGCGACGGGUAACCGGACUGAGAGGUUGACCGGUCACAUCGGGACUGAGACACUGCCCGGACAUCUACGGAUGGCUGCAGUAACGAAUAUUCCGCAAUGGGCGAAAGCCUGACGGAGCGACGCCGCGUGGAGGACGAAGGCCUUCGGGUUGUAAACUCCUUUUAGGAUUAGGAAAGCAAGGCGUGCUAAUACCACGCUGAGUUGAUCUAUUCCAGAAAAAGCCUCGGCUAAACCCGCGCCAGCAGCCGCGGUAAUACGGGUGAGGCAAGCGUUGUUCGGAAUCACUGGGCUUAAAGCGCGUGUAGGCGGCAUGGUAAGUACCUUGUGAAAACCCUCGGCUCAACCGGGGAACUGCUUGGUAUACUGCCGUGCUCGAGGAAGGCAGAGGUGCCUGGAACUCUAGGUGGAGCGGUGAAAUGCGUAGAUAUCUAGAGGAACGCCCGUGGCGAAAGCGGGGCACUGGGCCUUUCCUGACGCUGAGACACGAAAGCGUGGGGAGCAAACGGGAUUAGAUACCCCGGUAGUCCACGCCGUAAACGAUGCGCACUAGGUUUGCUGCACUCUGACGUGCUGCGAGCCGAAACAAAAGCGAUAAGUGCGCCGCCUGGGGAGUACGGCCGCAAGGCUAAAACUCAAAGGAAUUGACGGGGGCUCACACAGGCGGUGGAUGAUGUGGUUCAAUUCGAAGCAACGCGAAGAACCUUACCCGGGUUUGACAUGCUAGAAUUAGUUCCGUGAAAGCGGAAUGACGCGGCUUGCCGUGGAAUUAGCACAGGUGCUGCAUGGCUGUCGUCAGCUCGUGCUGUGAAGCGUCGGGUUAAGUCCCUUAACGAGCGAAACCCUUGUCGCUAGUUGCCAGCGCGUAAUGGCGGGCACUUUAGCGAGACUGCCGGUGUUAAACCGGAGGAAGGUGGGGACGACGUCAAGUCCUCAUGGCCUUUAUGCCCGGGGUUGCACACGUCAUACAAUGGUACAUACAGAGGGCCGCCAACCCGCGAGGGGGAGCUAAUCCCAGAAAGUGUAUCGUAGUCCGGAUUGUAGUCUGCAACUCGACUACAUGAAGUUGGAAUCGCUAGUAAUCGCGGAUCAGCAUGUCGCGGUGAAUACGUUCCCGGGUCUUGUACACACCGCCCGUCACACCAUGGGAGCGGGUUUUACCAGAAGUAGGUAGCUUAACCGCAAGGAGGGCGCUUACCACGGUAGGAUUCGUGACUGGGGUGAAGUCGUAACAAGGUAACC